GUCCGUGCUGUAAAACGCCAUUGACGUGACUCGACGCGCACAUGAUGACGAGGUGCCGAGGAAGCGUCUACCUGUACAAGUGUCGCCGUUUGGGGUCGUCCUCUGUGCUCAGAAAGUAUCUGGGAAAAGAAGCCGCUAAGGCCAGGAUGUUGGUGACAUCCCAAUCCCCCGACGUCAGCGACUGAAGUAUGUCCAAGCUGGUGUUGGGCUAAGGCAGAUGAGUCAAGUCAAGCUCAGACGAGAAACAUCCACUUGUGCGAGCGAUAGCAUACCAUGGAGGUGGACAUAGAAAUAUGGAAGAACUUCCCUCUCCCACCCUGAGGGAUGGCUCGUGUGAAAAAGAACUUGUGUCCGUCGUGUGAAAAAAGAGGCGCUUCAUUCUGCGGACGGGAAGAAAAUGGGGUGUGUUUGCACGCUAGUGAACAAAAACACACGGGUGAUGUUUCACACCUACCUGUCUGUGCAACCAGCUUGUGCUCUCAUCUUCAUGUUUCUAAAAAGUCACAAUGCGUUAUUUAAGCCUUUGCUGAUCUCACACGUACUUGUGUAAACAUUUUAUAUAAACUUUUGUUUUUUAUAUA